CUUGGGACCAGGCCGGUGUCCAGGACAAUCCUCCCUGAAGCUGGUUGACUUCUUCUCACGUUGUCUACCUCUGUCACUCAUGUGCUCAGCACCAGAAGGUCCUUCAGGGAAGAGCAGAGAACAGGACGAGCAGCCCCAGUCCUGUGCUUUGAAGGGAAGAACUUAAGUCACUGUCCUCCUACAAACCCCACCCUCCUACCGACCACCCACUACCCAGCACCACUUCCUCUCCCAGUGGACAAAGGUGAUGGCAAGAGCUGAACGGGAAACCAGCGUUUAUCUCUUCUUACCUCCAACACGUCGAUGUCGGCGUUGCUGAAGUCAAUGUUGAGGAUUUUGGGCAGAGGGACUCCAGAACCCAGUAUAGCUAUAAAGAGAGUGGGAAGAGUCAGUCAGUUGUUAUCCAUGAAGCCAAGAGGUGGCAGCCUGGCCAAAAGCAACCAGCAUUCACAAGACCACAGCUGUCUUUUAGUCUUUCGACCUUGGGGUUGGCGUCUAGAGGUCCAGGCUGGCCUCAGACUUGCUGUGUUGCUGAGGAGUGCUGGGACUGAACCCAGGUCUUUGCGCAUACAGGAAAGCACUCUACCAAGUGAGCUACAUCCUACCCCUCCUGUGGGCUCUGAGCCCCCUGUGGGCUCUUCCCAAGCCUUGUCAUCUACAGUCUUCCUAGACCUUAGCCGGUAACUCUGGGCAGCUGCUACUCCUGCCCUACUCCCGACUCCUGUCACCAGAGAAACUAGGACACGUUAAUUCUGUCUCUGCACCCGUCACACUUGCCCAUGUCAAUUCCUUAAAGACUCUGUCCCUAGCACCAGAAGCAAGGAGAAAGAUUUGCUGAGUGAAGGAACGGAAUGAUGCACGUGGGCCCCCAAUAUGUGACUGCUGCGGGCGUUUGAUUGUAAAGGGGCUGCUCCAGCCUGGAGAUGUGAGUUGAAUCUCCAGAACCCAUAUAUUAAAAAAGGGAGAGAAUAAACUUCACACGUUUGUCUUCUGAUCUGCACACACACAGUGUGGCACAUAUACCUUCCCACAUACAUUUUGCACACACUAUCAUCAUCAUCAUCAUCAUCACCACCACCACCACCACCACCACCACCAUCAUCAUCAUCAUCAUCAUCAUCAAAA